CCUACGGGAGGCAGCAGUGAGGAAUAUUUGUCAAUGGACGCAAGUCUGAACCAGCCAUGCCGCGUGCAGGAAUACGGCUCUAUGAGUUGUAAACUGCUUUUGUACGAGGGUAAACGCAGAUACGCGUAUCUGUCUGAAAGUAUCGUACGAAUAAGGAUCGGCUAACUCCGUGCCAGCAGCCGCGGUAAUACGGAGGAUUCAAGCGUUAUCCGGAUUUAUUGGGUGUAAAGGGUGCGUAGGCGGUCGGAUAAGUUAGAGGUGAAAUCCCGAGGCUCAACUUCGGAAUUGCCUCUGAUACUGUUCGACUAGAGAGUAGGUGGGGUAAGCGGAAUGUAUGGUGUAGCGGUGAAAUGCUUAGAGAUCAUACAGAACACCGAUUGCGAAGGCAGCUUACCAAGCUACUACUGACGUUGAGGCACGAAGGCGUGGGGAGCAAACGGGAUUAGAUACCCUGGUAGUC
rnacentral:rRNA from 1 species